UUAUCGGAGAGUUUGAUCCUGGCUCAGGACGAACGCUGGCGGCGUGCCUAAUACAUGCAAGUCGAGCGGACAGAUGGGAGCUUGCUCCCUGAUGUUAGCGGCGGACGGGUGAGUAACACGUGGGUAACCUGCCUGUAAGACUGGGAUAACUCCGGGAAACCGGGGCUAAUACCGGAUGCUUGUUUGAACCGCAUGGUUCAGACAUAAAAGGUGGCUUCGGCUACCACUUACAGAUGGACCCGCGGCGCAUUAGCUAGUUGGUGAGGUAACGGCUCACCAAGGCGACGAUGCGUAGCCGACCUGAGAGGGUGAUCGGCCACACUGGGACUGAGACACGGCCCAGACUCCUACGGGAGGCAGCAGUAGGGAAUCUUCCGCAAUGGACGAAAGUCUGACGGAGCAACGCCGCGUGAGUGAUGAAGGUUUUCGGAUCGUAAAGCUCUGUUGUUAGGUAGGAAUAAGUGCAGUUAAAAUAGAGCGGCACAUUGACGGUACCUAACAUG
rnacentral:rRNA from 1 species